UGUAGCGCAGCAGCUGCCUGAGAGAACCUGGCUGGGGCGGUGGUGGCGGGCCGCCCCGUGCCCUGGUCCAGCUGCAGGGGACAGGGCGGAGCGAGCUGGAGCCCCCUCUCCUCCCCCCCGGACUCGCUUGGCCCCUGUCCCUGGCAGUCAGGCUUGGGUAGGGGGCAGCCCACCCCCGCCACCCCAAUCAGGCGCUCUCAGGCAGCUGCUGCGCUGCGCUGAGCCAGCGAGUGGGAGCGGCCAGCUUCAGCCGCAUGAGAAGCGGCUCUGUCCGGCUCUGCAGGCAGGCCCGGCUGCCAGGGAGAGCGGCUGAAUGUGCCGGGGCAAGGGGAGCACAGCGGGAGAAGAACAGAGGUCCCGCCCUGGAGGUGCUGUUUUGUGUGAUGCUGCCUGGUGAUUGGAUACUAUCAACUGUACACAGUAAUGAAAGAUAUUAGAUUACUAUUGGCUAUUAUUAAUAUUUCAUAUAUGUCAAAAAGAUAAACUUCUUUGAGAGCCAGGUCCAUCUAACCCUCGGCAUUGACAGUCAAGUCUGCAAGUGUGCACUUCAGCUGCAAGACCAGUGCUUGUUUGGAAAACUAAGUGCAGGGAACUUAGUGGCCCAAGAGGCAAAGUAUCAUGCAAGAUGUUUGGUGUCUCUCUACAACAAAGUCAGGGAGAAGAAAACUGAGCAAAGUAACACAGAGAAGCUAUUGCAUGCGAUUGCCUUUGCUGAACUGAUAGCAUACUUUGAAGAGGCAAGACUGAAAGAAGAUGUGGCUCCAGUCUUUAAACUAGCAGACCUCACAAGGCUCUAACACUAUAAGCUAUAGUAGAAUAGCGAAGGGUAACGCUGGCUGGGUGCAUUCCGAGUACUGAACUAAAAACUCAUAUCCUUUCACACAGUCCAGAUCUCCAAGCACACAAAAAGGACAGGAUGUGCUCCUUGCCUUCAACCAUGAUGUUGGACAUGCCUUCCAAAAAACAUGUGAAGACGACUGACAAAGAAGCACUUCACCUAUCCCAAAUAGCAAAAAAUAUUCAAAGUGACAUGUUUCAAAUGAACACAGUUUACUGGAUCAUUUGACCCAGGAUGCCAAGCAGAAUCUGUGCCUGAGUCACUGAUGUCCAUGAUAUUGGAUGGUCCAAACAUUAAAACUCAAUCAGAACAAGUUUCCAUUCGUCCAGCUACCCUUACUUUGGCACAACUAUUGUAGUAGAACAACAACAUCAGUCACUGUGAAGGAACAGAAAGUUUGCACCACAACAAAGCUUUAGAAAUGUCUUUACCAGUCUACAUUGGUUUAACACUUCAUGCACAGACAUGAAAAAGUGAACUAGUAGAUACAUUCUUUAAACUUGGAUUGUCCACCUCCUAUGACAGAUGUUGGCUCUCUCUACCAGCAUGGGAAAAAGCUCAUACCAACACUUUGAGGAUGAGAAUGUAGUCUGUCCUCUAAAGCUUUGUGGUGGUCUGUUCACUACUGCAGCAAUAGACAACAUAGACCACAAGCCCAACUCCACCACAGCAACAGACUCCUUCUCUGGAACUAGGAUAUCACCUUUUCAGCAUCCCAGUACUCAGGUGGAGGGAGCUGUGCAAGGAAUUUCCACCCCGGACUGUGAGACUGCAGCAUCAGUGAAGAAGACGAUCACUUCCUGAGUUUUACAGUUAUCCUUCCAUUCGUCUUGAAGAUAACUAAUGCUCCCAUCCCUGCCACAAAUGUUGAAAUCAAGAUUGACUGCUAACUGAUUACCCAAGCCCUACAAGAAGAAUGCAGGUGACUUUAACAAGUAAGGCAAGCAGCAAUGGAGAUCAAGACAUUUCCCGGGCAGCUUACCUUGCCAGCAAACAGCCAGUGCCAGAUUUUGCCUCGGCCAUCACUGCAUUUCUUCUCCUCUUUCCAGAUGACUCCAAGUCUGUGGCAAUGAUUAAUCACACCCUGGAUGUGAUAAGGAAUGCUGUACACCACAUAAAGUCAUGCCAAGUGCCAGUGAUCACUGUAGAUGAUCCUCUUUUCACCAUAACCAAACAAAUAUAAUGGACCAGGCCUUCUGGGUAUGGAGAAGACAAAUUUGUCAUUAUGCUGGGUGAUCUUCCUCUGGAAAUGGCAAGUCUAAAUCUGAUUGGAGAUUGGCUAGAAGACAGUGUAUCGACAAAAUCCCUUGUUCAGGUCAAAGUAGCCUCCCCAGGAAUGGCUGACACCUUCUUGAAAUUGUCUCAUGUCACACAUACUAGGAAUGCCCACCAAGUAACUAUCAGCAGUCUCUACAUCUUUCUCCAGAAUGCACACACGCAGUAUACCCAAGAUCUCGGGGAAGAUGAGGUCCCCAUGGAGUAUAAUAAAUGGUGUGACAAGCAAAAACUAGAAAACCUACUGUUCCACUUCUUGCAUACCACACUUCAACUGGAGCUUCUUGUAUUGACCUAUGUGCUGUCAAUCUGCCAGGCAAACUUUGCUCUCUACAUUGAAUGCCUUGGAAAGCUGUCACCCUGGUUCUUGGCAUUGAGUGCCUGUUCACCUCUGAGAUAUGGUAAGCCUUCACAGAGUGAAUCCAGACACAGGUAGAGAGUUCCUAAAGAGAAACUUCACAGUUCACAAGACACAGAAUGUUUUCUCUGCAAUCACACUUGACGAACUUAAUGAACAAAAUAAUGCUGUAAUCAAAGCGGGUGGUGAAGCUGUUGGUCUAACACAAAGUCUAGAGGCCCUCAGCACUGGAUGAUAGCAGGACCAGUGGUGGGCAGGUUGACAGGAGAAUUUUAAGCUGCAGAAGAAAGAGGAAUCAACAGAAAAGGGUCUAAUACAAAGCACUGUGAGCAGGUGAAAGGUGUCCAGGCAUCUUUUGCAGAACACGUCAAGGCACUUGGUGAGGUCAUAGAAGACAUAGACAACCCCUUCUCAGAAGAGAGUGUAGACUUUAUUAAACUGGACACCAGAGACAUUGCAGAUCCUGCUGUGAUUGUCUCUGUUAGGGAAUUUGAGAAGAUUAGGCAGCAGCAGCACACCACUUUUGUAACAGAGAGAUUGCAAGACAAAACCAAACCAUUCACAAAGACUGUCAAGCAAAGUGAACUCCACUUGUUUACCAGACUCGUGUAAGGGAAAUCUCCAAGACCAAAUUUCAGCUCUUCUCCUUGAAAAAUGUUGGGGAACACGACAUUUCAGUAUCUUGAAGACUAUAAAAGAUUUUCUUGAUUCUUAAUUUGUUUUAGGCUGAAUGUUUAUGUAAGCUGCCUUUUCAAUCUUUUUGUGACAGAGCAAUAUCCUGUUAUGCAUAGAUCAAUCUGAAAUAUCAUUAUUAGCAAAGAGGAAUGUAACUUUCUGUUCAUGAACAGAAACUUGUAAACUUAUUGUGUUAUUUUUCUAUGUAAAUAAUAUUUUUGUAAAAACAACGAGGAGUCCAAUGGCACCGUAAAGACUGACAGAUUUAUUUGGGCAUAAGUUUUCAUGAGUAAAAAACCCACUUCUUCAGAUGCAUGGAGUCAGUAUGGAGUUUUAGUUUAGUAAAUAUUCUCUGGUGACACACUA